UCUUAUUCAUUCUUCAUGUUCGGCCUCACCAAGGAAAAGAGGAAAGAAAGAAAGAACAAAACCCUAGUUAGAAAAUUCAAGAGAAAAUUGGUGGAUUUCAAGGAAUUAAGCAAGUAAAGGUAAAAUUUCUUGAUUUUAGCUUAUGAUCUACCUUUCCUAUGCAUUCUUUUUCAUUUUCCAUGGUUGAGAAUCAAGUUUGCAUGAGGAUACCUUUGUUGGCUAGACAUGGGGGGGGAGGAGUUUUGAUCUUGGAUUUAGCUAGAUUUUAUGUUAUUCUAGUGUUUUUAGUUGUUUGGUGAUGUGUAGCAUAAAAAGCAAACAAGAAAAAUUCAUGUUCUUACAUCACCCUCAUUGGCCGAAUCUUCCUUAUGGUAUGUUGAUGGUGGAUUUGAUUUUAUUUCAAGUGAUUUGGUUAGGAAUUAAUGAUUUAUGGUGUAAAAAUCAAGUGUGAAAAACCAUAGUGUUUAUCAAGUGUGAAAAAUGAGUUUAAAUGGUAAAUCUUUAUGUUUUAUAAGAAAAAUGUGAUUAAAUGAAAUGAUUUUAUAAAAUUGUCUUGAAAUUGAAUGAUGGUUUUGAAAAUGGAGUAAUUGGAGACUUCUUGUUGUGUUAUAAAUCAUAGUUGAAUUGAAUGGCUUAUGAUAAUGUGGGCAUGAGUGGCUGGAUUGGUAAUUGUGCUAAACAUAUAUGAACUGUUGUUUUGCCUUGACAUGCUGUGUUGUAAAAUAAUUGCCACAUCAUGCUAUUGGAAUUUUAUUCAUUUGGUGGGAUAUCGAUUAGCUUACUGCAGUGGGUGGGUUUCUAUGCACCAGCCUAUUAGAGGGGCACGGUAAAUCCCGUUACAUUUUAUUUUACCUCAAUACGAGAGGCGCGGAGGGUAACUUCUGAGGUAAAGUUUAGAGUUCACUUCACACCGAACCACCACGUGAGGGUGAACUCAGCCAACGCCAAGGAAUGGCUAUGUUUUAAAACGUACAAAUAUGAUUUAUGGAUACAUGUCUUUUCUUUAACAGCCUUGGCAGACUCAGUUGGAUGCCUCUUAUCAAGGUAUCCCCAAGAAUGAGUUUUGGCAUGAGCCAAGUUUUUAAGAGAUUCAUAAGCCUCGUUGUAUAUUUUGGAUGAAAUGUAAUUGGUUUAGAUGAUUUGAAAUGUGUUUUGGAGUUAUGAACCAUCUUAUGAUGAUCUAUUUUAAUCGUCUCCAUUGACUCGGCUUUAGAUAUUUUAGAUGAUGUUUGUUUACUCACUGAGUUUAUAUAAACUCACCACCCUCUUUUCCACUCAUUUCAGGCUCAGAAUAGUCAGUAGAUAGCUGAUUUCGUUGAGGGCUACAGUUGGAUUUGCAUCCUCAAAAAUCGUAGGUUCACAGCCUUCGUUACUUUUGGUCAUUCGGGGGUCCACAUGUCAUUGUAAAUUAAAUUACAUACUCUGGUUAUCUAUGUUACUGUAUGUAAGAAUUUAUUUUGCUUUUACGCUACAAAAAUUAUUUACAGAUAUCUCUAUAAAAAUUGUUUUAUAAGAAAAUGAAAUAUUUUAUUCAAUAUUUUUAUUUUAUUCUAAUAGCUAUCAUUUCACUUUAAAUGAAUGUUUUAGACAUCUAAACUUAUUUUUGGUUAUGAAAUAUGUAUCUUUCACUCAUAUACUACAUUUUUAGAUGGUUUUGAAAUUUUUGGGGAAAAAUGACCAAAAUACCCUUGUGAGACGAAAAUUAUUUUCUUUAUUGUUUUGGUUUGGAAAUAGCUUAUAAUCUUUUAAAAUAUGAUAUUAUCAACUGUUGCUAGCAGGGGAGGUGAGAAAACUGAUAUUAAAGCCUUGCGGGGUUUUGGCUGGCAUUUCGGGUAAUGAAUGUCUAUCGAAACAUCGCGGCGAUUGUCACGGGCUCGAAAAGAGUACCGGAUCAUGACAUUGUUUCCUGUUAAUUGGUUGAUUAUUGUUAAAAUAAAGAUUAGUUUCUUGAAUUCAUGAUUUGAAUGAAUGUUAUUUUGUUGAUCUUGCUUGCAUAAUAAUUGUUGCAAUAAGAUUUGCAUAUCAUUUCAUACUCAUGCAUCAUUCAAAACCAAAAGCUAUGUGCACUAAAC
rnacentral:lncRNA from 1 species